CUUUUAAAAACUUCAAUAACAAAAGAGAGGCAAGGAUUAAACUUAUCUCUUGGAGAAAACACCAACACAGCAACAAUGAGAAAUUCGGAGGAGAAGAACAAAUGAGCUCUAAAGAUCCCAGAAGCUAAAACUUGAAAUUCAAACUCGAUUCUUCAAAAAAAAAAAAAAGUAAAAAGUCAUGAAAAAACUGUGAAAAAUAAGAAUUUGUGAAGAAAAAGGGCAGGAGACUUACCUAUGCUCGAAAUAGAGAAAAAAAUUCUCUCCUUUUCAGGUAGAGCCCCUUUUAUAGGUGGCUGAAAAAGCCACAUUCGGUGGCCGAACCUUAAAACUUUUCUAAAAGUCUUUUUUUUUCUAAAACUCAUCAUAAAAAUGCUUUAAAUUCAUUUUAUAAAAAAAAAAAAAAACUCAUUUUACCCUUUUAAAAUUUUUGGUUUUAAGAUUUUGGAUUCUAAUGAAGAUUCCAUCAAAAAGUUAGAAUUCUGAUACCGAAGUUUAGCCAGGUAUUACAUUAUCCUUGAAGAUGAAGUAGGUGAGUAGCUAAUUCAAAAAAUAUAUUACAGAUGGAAUUUAUUGAAAUGCAGGGUGUUUAACGCUAUUGGGCAUAGAGUAGGUUAGUACAGGAAUGAAGUCAAGAAACAAAUAUGGCAAUAAAGAAAUAGGGGACAUAAGAGUGAAGAGAAAGGAGUGAGGGGAAAGUCUGAUAAUGAUAGGAAUUUGGAGUAAGAGGAACUCGAAGAGAGAAAUGUUGAUAAUGAUCAUAGAGGUUGGGCUGAAAGUAUGCUGACUGCUGAAGCUUCUAGAAAAAAAGAGUGGAUAGCUGCCACAAAAAAAAGAUAAGAAUUUGGGGUUUCUCCUAGGAUAGUAGUUGAUCUUUCAAUAGUACAAAAUAACAGAUAAGCCUCGCCCUUCAAGAAUUAUAGGGGAUGGAAUUAUUAGGGGUAGUAGAGAGGAGAAAGGAAUGGGAGUAACCCUAAAAUGGGUGGAUGAUUAGUUCUUGAAACAUUAAGAGCCUUAAUGACUCAGGAAGUGAUUGGAGGUGCAUUCUCUAGUUGCUAAAAAUAAGUUAUUUGCUCUUGGACUUUUGGAAACUAGAUUUAGGCUGGGGAAUAAGGAUAAAGUGAUGAGGGGGUUAGAUUUUCAUGGAUGAGAACUUAUAAGCAUCUAUCAAGCUAUUGAUAAUGGGAGGAUAUGGGUUGUAUUUGACCUUCAGCUGGUUAAGAUAAAUGCAGAAAGUGAUGAAUCAAAUUAUGUGUAGUGUGGUGGAGUACAAGGGAAGAAAUGUAGUGGUCUAUUGUGUAUAGAAGUAAUGAGGCUCAAAGCAGGAGGAGACUCUGGGAGAUGGUUAAGCAGAUUGUCAUAAGUAUGGAUGGGCUGUUGAUCUUGCAAGGUCAUUUUGAUGCAAUUAUCUAUGAUUGUGAGAGGAUAGGUGGGAAUGGGUUUAAUAAUUCAAGUAAUGACUUUGAAAAAUGUAUUGUAAAUGCUAGUUUGAUAGAGUUAAGGACUAGGGGAUGGUUUUACAUAUGGACUAAUAAUUAGGAGGGUCAAACUAGAAUUUGGAGGAAGCUGGAUAGAUAUUUAGUUAAUUUGUCAUGGCUAGAUGUCUUUGAGUUUGUUGAAUGUAAAGUGAAGGUAGUUGAGAUAUCAUAUUACUCUCCUCUUAUCAUUAAAUUGGGAAUGGAUAGGGAGGUUAGGAAUGUGCCAUUUAGAUUUAAUAAUAAGUGGACAUCUCACCAAACUACAAGCAUAUCGUAGAGGGCGUUUGGAAUAGAAAUGUUAGGGAGAUUGAUAUGAUAAGGUGUAAAUAAAAUUAAGGGAGUUAAGAGGGGAAUUAAAGUAGUUAAAUAGAAAGGAAUUUUAAAAAAUUUCAAGCAGAGUGAAGAUUUCAGAAUAUUGCUUGAAUAACUGCAGGAAGGAUUACAAAGGGAAUCACAUAAUAAUGAAUUGUUAGAAGAAAAGAGCAAUGGUUUAACAUUUUAAAAGUUUGCUAAAGCAAAAAAGGGAAGUUCUAAAGGCAAAAGGCUAGGCUGGACUAGGUACAGUUAGGGGAUGCAAACACUAAAUUUUUUCACAGCCAUAAAAAGGUUAGAACAAUGAGGAAUAGAAUCACAAGUUUAAACCUACAAUAAGGAAAAUAAUCACAAGUUUAAACUUACCUGGUGGUGAGGUGAUUUUGAAUCAAGCGGAAAUAAAGAGAGCAAUGAUAAAACUUGGGGCUACCACUUUGAAUCAUUUACAUGUGGAUAUGGAUAUUAUUAAACGUGGGUAAAGCUAACUCUAUCAAUUACAUCACCCUUUUGUUUGAAUAAGCUAUUAAGGUGACUGUAGAAAGAUUUUGUACAUCACUCUAGCAUUUGGUUGGGUCAGACUGAUAUAGCAUGCUGAAAAUGUCAUUCUUACAAGCACUUUAUAUAUUUAUGAACAGUACAGUAAAAGGGCAUUUUAGAUUAAACAAUGUUACUUUUUAACGGUCUUCUCGAUUAGAAUUAAUUAAUCAUCAACUAAAACAAACACAAAAUAAUUAUUGUAUGACUGAUAACAAACCAGGAAUUAUACCUAAUUAGCAUAUUUUGCUGCUUGCAUUACAACUGUAGGCUUCUGUUGCAGAAUAUUUGCAAGCAGCAGCAGCCUGCAGCAGCUACUUGCAAAUGCAGCAGCAGCCUGCAGUUGCUGCUUGCAAAUGCAGCAGCAGCCUGCUGCUCAAAUGCAGCUGCAGUUGUUGAUUCAGGGAAAUGCAGCAGCAGCCUGCUACUGCUGCAGGGAAAAAUAUUGCAUUAUUACUAUAAUUUGCGGUUUCACAAUAUGAAGUUGUGUUUAAAUUGUUAGACAUUUUUUUGCAAUAAGUUUAACUAAUUACUACUGUAUGUUCAUCCAUUAUAUUAAUAUUGUCUAUUUCCCCAUUAUACUAAUGUUGUCUGCUCCUAUAUUAUACUAAUGUUGUUUGUUCCUCCAUUAUACUAAUGCCUCUACCUAAUUACAAUGAUUAAAAGCCUUUGGUUUCCACAGAAAUUAAAAAAGAACCCACAUCAGAGACUAAAAUUACAAUGCUUCAUUUUAUCAUGCCAAAUGUCUUCUAUGCACAUAUUGCAGUAUAUUUAAGAGUUGUUAAAUGGAAAUAUAAAUUGUAAAAAGUCUUUUAUUCACUCUAAAUUUGAAUUUUCAAGCUCAAUUUUAGACUUUUGUUUUGUAUUGCAUCUGGCCAGUACAUAUAACUGAAGUGUUAGUCAUAUUUAAAACUAUUGUAUAUUGACUUUACACUUGGUGGCUAAGAGUUCUUUCUUGCAUGAGCAAGGAUUAAUUUAACCAUGAUUCCAAAUCAGCUUUAUGAUGUAUUUUCUAAAUUCAGGCAUGCCAUAAUAUAUUAGAGAAAAUUUUGAUUUUAAUAAUCUGAUUUAUUAUUUCAGAGUUUCAUUUUCAUAAAAUAUAUUCGCAAACAAGAAGCAUAAUGAAUAAAAUUAGAAGAAGAAACAAACAAACUAAAUUAAGAGCAACCAAAAGAUGGAUACACAAAUAGAAAGAGAAAAAUUAGAUGAGAGAAAGAGAGAAGGACCUCGUUUGCCCAUUGGUGGUAUAACGGGUUGCAAUAGGCGAAGAGGGGAUUCUGCAGCGUGAUUGGGCUGAUCCACAUUCGGUUGGCAAAGAGACUGGUGGUGGCGUGACUGGGUGCCUCACGGUGGAGAUGGGUGCAGAAAGGGGUAGUGGCGGCGUGACCGAGUGCCUCACGUGGAGAUGGUGCAGAAAGGAGAAAAUUCAUGAAGGAGAAGCUGAUAAUAGUUACAAAACGC
rnacentral:lncRNA from 1 species